rnacentral:rRNA from 1 species
GACGGAGGAUGCAAGUGUUAUCCGGAAUCACUGGGCGUAAAGCGCGUGUAGGCGGUUCAGUAAGUCCGCUCUGAAAGCCCAGGGCUCAACCCUGGGAGGCGGGUGGAUACUACUGGACUAGAGUACGGAAGAGGAGAUUGGAAUUCCUGGUGUAGCGGUGAAAUGCGCAGAUAUCAGGAGGAACACCAACAGCGAAGGCAGAUCUCUGGGACGUAACUGACGCUGAGACGCGAAAGCGUGGGGAGCGAACAGG